UGAGAACUGAUAUGCUCUUCUAGUG
rnacentral:piRNA from 1 species